rnacentral:rRNA from 1 species
UAAGUCAGAACCGUGCUAGAAACGAUGAUGUUGGUCCCGCACAUAUUAGCUGUGUUAAAAUAGAGCUUUGCUCGUGAACCAAAUCAGACAGACGUGGAUGCUGCAGUGGAAAUCUGUGGUGUCUAGUUUGUGAAUUGUAAUUACCAUAUGGGCGGGGGUGAAUCCUUUGCAGACGACUUGAAUGGGAACGGGGUACUGUAAGCAGUAGAGUAGCCUUGUUUGCUACGAUCUGCUGAGGUUAAGCCCUUGUUCUAAAGAUUUGU